UGUGACAUCACAUUGCUCCAAUGUGACAUCUCAGUGCUCCAUUGUGCCAUCACAGUGCUCCAAUGUGACAUCACAGUGCUCCAUUGUGCCAUCACAGUG
rnacentral:miRNA from 1 species